UCGAACGAGAAAGUUCCUUCGGGAGCGAGUAAAGUGGCGGACGGGUGAGUAACGCGUAGGAAUCUACCUUUCAGUGGGGGAUAGCUCGAGGAAACUCGAAUUAAUACCGCAUAUACCCUUAGGGGGAAAGGGGGCCUCUCCUUGGAAGCUCUCGCUGUUAGAUGAGCCUGCGUGAGAUUAGCUUGUUGGUAAGGUAAUGGCUUACCAAGGCUACGAUCUCUAGCUGGUCUGAGAGGACGAUCAGCCACACUGGGACUGAGACACGGCCCAGACUCCUACGGGAGGCAGCAGUAGGGAAUAUUGGACAAUGGGGGAAACCCUGAUCCAGGCAUGCCGCGUGUGUGAAGAAGGCCUUAGGGUUGUAAAGCACUUUAAGUGAGGAAGAAAAGAUUUAGAUUAAUACUUUGAAUCCCUGACAUUACUCACAGAAUAAGGACCGGCUAACUCCGUGCCAGCAGCCGCGGUAAUACGGAGGGUCCAAGCGUUAAUCGGAAUUACUGGGCGUAAAGCGCGCGUAGAUGGUCUAUUUAGUUGGGUGUGAAAUCCCUGGGCUCAACCUAGGAACUGCAUUCAAAACUUAUAGACUAGAGUACGAAAGAGGAGAGUAGAAUUCAUGGUGUAGCGGUGAAAUGCGUAGAUAUCAUGAGGAAUACCAGUGGCGAAGGCGACUCUCUGGUUCGAGACUGACAUUGAGGUGCGAAAGCGUGGGUAGCAAACAGGAUUAGAUACCCUGGUAGUCCACGCCGUAAACGAUGAGAACUAGCCGUUGGAUCUUUAGAUUCNGUGGCGCAGCUNACGCAUU
rnacentral:rRNA from 1 species